UACCCUAUUUUUUUUUGGAGCGCCUCCCCACUCGCCCGACUUCUCUCGCGCCUCUCCCUCCCUUGCCCUCUCCGAUCCACAGCUUCCUCCCAUCCUCUGUCUCUCCUCAGCUGCAUCUCUCUCACCUCAGUCGCCGCCGAGGAUCUCGGCCACCGCCGCUGCCAUCUCGCGGGCUACCGCCGCCGCUGCACACAUCUCGCGCGCUGCUACCGCCGAAGUCACGAUCACCUCGGCCGCCGCCGCCGCACUAACCUCGGCCGCCAUUUUCUUGCCUCGAUCUUAUCUCGCCCCUCUCGCCCCUC
rnacentral:lncRNA from 1 species